UGAGGAACAUGACCUUCGGCGGGGGAUAGCCGGCCCAACGGCCGGGUAAUACCGCGUACGACCACUUUGGGACAUCCCUCGGUGGUGAAAGCAGCAAUGCGCCGAUGGAGUGCCUCGCGGCCUAUCAGCUAGUUGGUGUGGGUAAUGGCCCACCAAGGCGACGACGGGUAGCCGGCCUGAGAGGGUGACCGGCCACACUGGGACUGAGACACGGCCCAGACUCCGUACGGGAGGCAG
rnacentral:rRNA from 1 species